UUCAGGCACUCGGAUCUCUUGCAGUGGCACCCCUUCGUGUGCUUACCCACAAGAGGGCCUUCUGCUACUUUAAACUGGGAUGUAAAGGGAAUGGAUUUCAUACAUGACGUGAUAAGGCAAACAUAUUGGAAUACAACUCGGAUUUUGGCUUGUUUCUCACAUAACUAUUGUCUUAAGCCCUUAACCCAUGGUAUGGACUCAUCGUCAAUGAUUAUU
rnacentral:lncRNA from 1 species